rnacentral:rRNA from 1 species
GCAGGUCAGCAUACUGCCGUGAAUACGUUCCCGGGCCUUGUACACACCGCCCGUCACACCAUGAGAGUUGGGGAUACCCAAAGCCCGUGAGCCAACUUUUAAAGAGGCAGCGGUCUAAGGUAGAAUCAAUGAUUGGGGUGAAGUCGUAACAAGGUACC